UUGAUUGGCCUUGAUUUUGGUCACCUGAGGGAUCCAAGAUGGCGGACAGAAGCAAGAUGGUGUCUGGAUAGACAGCAUGGUGCCCAGACUUGGUUACACUCAGAAACCACAAGACUUUGUAAAACCUAAUCGCCCUCAUACAAGGACAGUACCAGGAUUAAGGAUUCCUACUGGGAACGCGACCACUCCUUUGUCGUGUAUGUCUGUCAAGUGUUCGUCUGUUAUAUAUAUAAACAAUGACCGAACGGGACAGGCUAUCGUUUACCCCAACGCUUGGGCUAUCCCUCAACAAGAGAGAAGGACCAGAGCUCGCCAGGAACCCAGACUGGUGCUCCUGUUCAAGUCCUGCCUCCUAUGCAGAUGAUCCAUAGAAGGUAGAGCAACACCCUAAAGCCCUCCAUCAUUUCUGCUGUCUACUGGUCCACUAUUGGAGUGUGAAAAGAAGAUACACGAGGAAAUGGAAGUAUGUCAUGAAGAAGAACCAAAGUUCCUUGUGAAGACCAGGUGCAGAGACGGGAGAGGGGAAAGAAGGCCUUUGAAAGCCGCUCCAUUGUGUCCUCGUGAACUCCGGAAGCAUCUCUACAGCGAGGCAGAGUUGUCAUCCCCCUCCUCAACUUGUAAAUGGCUGUGGACGUUGUUGUAUUGCUAUCAUGGGAUUGGUAGUAAAAAAGAGGAAUAAGCUUGGCCAUCUUCCAGUUUGGAGCGGCCCAUGCAGCUCCAGACAGGUGGCUGUGGUUUACUUGAGCUGUUAUAGAUUUGUACUUUAUUUAAUAAAUAAUGAUUGCCAGCCAAUUCAAUACACACGCAUACAUAUAGCACUGAUUGAGUUGUACAGAGUGGAGUGGUUCAUUUUCCUGACGACGUAGG